GUGCACCAGUCGAGAAUUUUUCUCAAUGGGCGAAAGCCUGAAGGAGCGACGCCGCGUGGAGGAUGAAGGCCUUCGGGUUGUAAACUCCUGUCAUUUGAGAACAAGGUGUCGGCAAGUAACUACUGCCGACUUGAUAGUAUCAGAAGAGGAAGGGACGGCUAACUCUGUGCCAGCAGCCGCGGUAAUACAGAGGUCCCAAGCGUUGUUCGGAUUCAUUGGGCGUAAAGGGUGCGUAGGUGGCGCCAUAAGUCAGGUGUAGAAAUUUCGGAGCUUAACUCCGAAAACUGCAUUUGAUACUGUGGUGCUUGAGGACUGGAGAGGAGACUGGAAUUUACGGUGUAGCAGUGAAAUGCGUAGAGA
rnacentral:rRNA from 1 species